CGGGUUUUAUCGUCACUCCAAUCAGAACUAGCCUCUCUCUGCGGGAUGUUUCAAGCAGGCGUAUGGUACCCCAGUUCGUUCAACGAUCAAUAAAGGAUGUCUGGAAAGGGUCAAUCCGGCGAGCCUCAUCGUUGUGACAGAUACAGACCCAUGUGUCGCCCCGUGACCUGCUGGAGGACAAAGGCUCUGCAAAAUCUCUGCAUUCAACAGGCAGCUGCACUGGCCCUACGGCCUGGGUGAUUUCUUGGAGCGUUCUGGUCGCCGCUUCAGCAUGGCACUGGACCUUCCCUUGCAAUUCAAGCUCCAGUUGGGAUUCAGGCUAGAAGAUGAAAGGCUACCAUGUUAUUUGGAUUUUAUUCUUAACUCCAUUGUGUUUCUUCAUUAAGUCAUGUAUGUAAAAUAUCCACCUGGACAGCUCAUUCACCUCUUAGUAUUAUAACAUUGUCUGAGUUUUUGGAACAUUUAUGAUGGCUUAGGACUGGAGAUACUGUGAAUGAUGUGGGUCAGACUCCACAGACUGGAUCUACAUGGAAAUGCACUCAAUCAGUCAAACUGCUGUUGGAGAGCUGAGGACAUGUACAACCUGAAUCCACAACCAGGCCUCAUGAAACGGCAAUGACCUCUGUGUCAGUCUGUCUCUAUGAUUGGGAGCACAGACAGAAGUGACCACACAUAAUAUGAAUUACAGGAACAUCUCG